CAGCAGCCGCGGUAAUACGGAGGGGGCUAGCGUUGUUCGGAAUUAUUGGGCGUAAAGGGCGCGUAGGCGGCCGAUCAAGUCGAGUGUGAAAGCCCCCGGCUCAACUGGGGAGGGUCAUUCGAUACUGAUCGACUAGAAGGCAGGAGAGGGUAGUGGAAUUCCCGGUGUAGUGGUGAAAUGCGUAGAUAUCGGGAGGAACACCAGUGGCGAAGGCGACUACCUGGCCUGUUCUUGACGCUGAGGCGCGAAAGCUAGGGUAGCAAACGGGAUUAGAUACCCCGGUAGUCCUAGCCGUAAACGAUGGACACUAGGUGUUGGUGGUAUCAACCCCGCCAGUGCCGAAGCUAACGCAUUAAGUGUCCCGCCUGGGGAGUACGGCCGCAAGGCUAAAACUCAAAGGAAUUGACGG
rnacentral:rRNA from 1 species